UUUGUAUGAAUUAGUGUAAAAUUUCACACUGUGUACAAUGAUUUAAAUUCUAUACAGAGUGAUAUGUUUUAAGCAAAGGCGUGAUUUGUAGAAAAGUACAAGAAACUUAAAUUGACUGAAUUUAGAAGGCGUUCUGCCUCCACGGACUGUGUGACAUAAAGACAAACAAAAACAUCUGGAUGCUUGAGCCAACACCAAUCUCAUCCAACAGAAAUGUAACUAUCUUCUACGACAAAGAGAUCCCAGCAGGUAGACAUGUCGAAGGAGGUGCAAUAAAACCUGAUACUGUAUGUCUGUGACAAUGUGUG